UCAUGCCCCUUAUGACCUGGGCUACACACGUGCUACAAUGGAUAGAACAAAGGGCAGCGAAGCCGCGAGGUGAAGCCAAUCCCAUAAAUCUAUUCUCAGUUCGGAUUGCAGGCUGCAACUCGCCUGCAUGAAGCCGGAAUCGCUAGUAAUCGCGGAUCAGCAUGCCGCGGUGAAUACGUUCCCGGGCCUUGUACACACCGCCCGUCACACCACGAGAGUUUGUAACACCCGAAGUCGGUGGGGUAACCUUUUGGAGCCAGCCGCCUAAGGUGGGACAGAUGAUUGGGGUGAAGUCGUAACAAGGUAGCCGUAUCGGAAGGUGCGGCUGGAUCACCUCCUUUCUAAGGA
rnacentral:rRNA from 2 species